rnacentral:rRNA from 1 species
UACGUAGGGGGCAAGCGUUGUCCGGAAUCAUUGGGCGUAAAGAGCGUGUAGGCGGCCAGAAAAGUCCGCUGUGAAAACUCGAGGCUCAACUUCGAGCUGUCGGUGGAAACUUUCUGGCUAGAGUCCGGAAGAGGAGAAUGGAAUUCCUGGUGUAGCGGUGAAAUGCGCAGAUAUCAGGAAGAACACCCGUGGCGAAGGCGGUCUCUGGGACGGUACUGACGCUGAGACGCGAAAGCGUGGGGGAGCGAACAGG